UACGUAGGGGGCAAGCGUUGUCCGGAAUCAUUGGGCGUAAAGGGCUCGUAGGUGGCCAACUAAGUCAGACGUGAAAUCCCUCGGCUUAACCGGGGAACUGCGUCUGAUACUGGAUGGCUUGAGUUUGGGAGAGGGACGCGGAAUUCCAGGUGUAGCGGUGAAAUGCGUAGAUAUCUGGAGGAACACCGGUGGCGAAGGCGGCGUCCUGGACCAACACUGACACUGAGGAGCGAAAGCCAGGGGAGCAAAUGGG
rnacentral:rRNA from 1 species